GAUGAACGCUAGCGGCAGGCCUAACACAUGCAAGUCGAGGGAGAAGCCCUUUCGGGGGCAGAAACCGGCGCACGGGUGCGUAACGCGUAUGCAACCUACCUUUCACAGGGGGAUAGCCCGAAGAAAUUUGGAUUAAUACCCCAUAAUAUUAUUGGAUGGCAUCAUUUGAUAAUUAAAACUGCGGUGGUGAAAGAUGGGCAUGCGUCCUAUUAGCUAGUUGGAGUGGUAACGGCACCCCAAGGCUACGAUAGGUAGGGGUCCUGAGAGGGAGAUCCCCCACACUGGUACUGAGACAGGGACCAGACUCCUACGGGAGGCAGCAGUGAGGAAGAUUGGUCAAUGGUCGGAAGACUGAACCAGCCAUGCCGCGUGCAGGAAGAAUGCCUUAUGGGUUGUAAACUGCUUUUAUAUGGGAAGAAUAAGGUGUACGUGUACAUUGAUGACGGUACCAUAUGAAUAAGCAUCGGCUAACUCCGUG
rnacentral:rRNA from 1 species